rfam:Ruminococcus sp. CAG:563 genomic scaffold, scf73
AUAAUGAUACUUCUGUUCGUGGCCGGCGACGAAAUAGGCGGUGGUGAGAUUCCAAUGA